CAGGGCUUAAAAACCCCCUAAACCACUGUGAACCUACCUAUAUUAUUCUUUGGCAGGCGGCCCCAGGGCGGGGCCGGCGGCCGGUUUCCGGUGCCUGCCAGAGGACCCAAACUCGUUAUGACCAGUUUUCUGAGUUAUAUACCAAAUAGUCA
rnacentral:misc_RNA from 1 species